rnacentral:rRNA from 1 species
UACAGAGGGGGCAAGCGUUGUUCGGAAUUACUGGGCGUAAAGGGCGCGUAGGCGGCACUGUUAGUCAGGCGUGAAAUUCCUGGGCUCAACCUGGGACUGCGCUUGAUACGGCAGAGCUUGAGGAUGGAAGAGGGUCGCGGAAUUCCAGUGUAGAGGUGAAUUCGAUAGAUAUUGGGAAGAACACCGGUGGCGAAGGCGGCGACCUGGUCCAUUACUGACGCUGAGGCGCGACAGCGUGGGGAGCAACAGG